GACGAACGCUGGCGGCGUGCUUAACACAUGCAAGUCGAACGGAAAGGCCCCUUUGGGGGUACUCGAGUGGCGAACGGGUGAGUAACACGUGCGUAACCUGCCCUUGACUUCGGGAUAACUUCAGGAAACUGGGGCUAAUACCGGAUAGGAAUCCUUGCUGCAUGGUGGGGGUUGGAAAGCUUCGGCGGGUUUGGAUGGACUCGCGGCUUAUCAGCUUGCUGGUGGGGUAGUGGCUUACCAAGGCUUUGGCGGGUAGCCGGCCUGAGAGGGCGACCGGCCACAUUGGGGCUGAGGUAAGGCCCAGACUCCUACGGGAGGGAACAGGGGGGAAUAUUGCACAAUGGGCGGAAGCCUGAUGCAGCAACGCCGCGGGCGGGAUGACGGCCUUCGGGUUGUAAACCGCUUUCAGCAGGGGCGAAGCUUGUGGUGACGGUACCUGCAGAAGAAGCACCGGCUAACUACGUG
rnacentral:rRNA from 1 species